rnacentral:rRNA from 1 species
GAUGAACGCUGGCGGCGUGCCUAAUACAUGCAAGUCGAGCGAACAGACGAGGAGCUUGCUCCUCUGACGUUAGCGGCGGACGGGUGAGUAACACGUGGAUAACCUACCUAUAAGACUGGGAUAACUUCGGGAAACCGGAGCUAAUACCGGAUAAUAUAUUGAACCGCAUGGUUCAAUAGUGAAAGACGGUUUUGCUGUCACUUAUAGAUGGAUCCGCGCCGCAUUAGCUAGUUGGUAAGGUAACGGCUUACCAAGGCGACGAUGCGUAGCCGACCUGAGAGGGUGAUAGGACACACUGGAACUGAGCCACGGUCCAGACACCUACGGGAGGCAGCAGUAGGGAAUCUUCCGCAAUGGGCGAAAGCCUGACGGAGCAACGCCGCGUGAGUGAUGAAGGUCUUCGGAUCGUAAAACUCUGUUAUUAGGGAAGAACAAAUGUGUAAGUAACUAUGCACGUCUGGACGGUACCUAAUCAGAAAGCCACGGCUAACUACGU